UGUGGCAUCGAAUAUUUCUCUCUUCCCACAUUCAAUCUUUCCUCCUUAUUUUUUUAUUUUUUGAGAACAUAUAUAUUCCCCAUCAUUUCACUCGCACUCUCUCCUCUCCGCCACCUCUUCAUCUUCUUCGCUUUCUCUUUAAAGCAGAAUGGCGACCUUCAAGGUUUCUUCUGUGGAAACGACGCCGUUUGAUGACCAGAAACCGGGAACUUCUGGUCUCAGGAAAAAGGU